GCGUCGGUGACUUAGUGGUUAAAGCACUUGACUUGCAAUCUGCAGGUCCUGGGUUCGAAUCUCAGCAUGUA
rnacentral:tRNA from 1 species